rnacentral:rRNA from 1 species
AUCGAACGCUGGCGGCAGGCCUAACACAUGCAAGUCGAACGAGUGGCGGACGGGUGAACAAUGUAUGGAAAACUGCCCGACGGAGGGGUAAGACUGGUGGAAAACGUGGAUAAUACCGCAUACCAUCGGAUCUGGCCAGGCUGGAUUAGCUAGUAGGUGGGGUAAAGCCUCACCUAGACGACGAUGCCUAGCCGGGCUGAGAGGAUGAUCGGCCACACUGGAACUGAGACACGGCCCAGACUCCUACGGGAGGCAGCAGUGGGGAAUCUUGGACAAUGGGCGAAAGCCUGACCCAGCCAUGCCGCGUGUAUGAAGAAGGCCUUCGGAUCGUAAAGUACUGUCAGCGAGGAGGCGGUACUUGCAGAAGAAGCACCGGCUAACUACGUGCCAGCAGCCGCGGUAAUAC